rnacentral:rRNA from 1 species
UACGUAGGGGGCAAGCGUUGUCCGGAAUCAUUGGGCGUAAAGAGCGUGUAGGCGGCUCGAUAAGUCUGCUGUGAAAGUCCAGGGCUCAACCCUGGAAGGCCGGUGGAAACUGUCGGGCUAGAGUCCGGAAGAGGCGAGUGGAAUUCCCGGUGUAGCGGUGAAAUGCGCAGAUAUCGGGAGGAACACCAAUGGCGAAGGCAGCUCGCUGGGACGGUACUGACGCUGAGACGCGAAAGCGUGGGGAGCAAACAGGAUUAAGAUACCC